rnacentral:rRNA from 1 species
GAUGAACGCUGGCGGCGUGCCUAAUACAUGCAAGUCGAGCGAACAGACGAGGAGCUUGCUCCUCUGACGUUAGCGGCGGACGGGUGAGUAACACGUGGAUAACCUACCUAUAAGAUUGGGAUAACUUCGGGAAACCGGAGCUAAUACCGGAUAAUAUAUUGAACCGCAUGGUUCAAUAGUGAAAGACGGUUUUGCUGUCACUUAUAGAUGGAUCCGCGCCGCAUUAGCUAGUUGGUAAGGUAACGGCUUACCAAGGCGACGAUGCGUAGCCGACCUGAGAGGGUGAUCGGCCACACUGGAACUGAGACACGGUCCAGACUCCUACGGGAGGCAGCAGUAGGGAAUCUUCCGCAAUGGGCGAAAGCCUGACGGAGCAACGCCGCGUGAGUGAUGAAGGUCUUCGGAUCGUAAAACUCUGUUAUUAGGGAAGAACAAAUGUGUAAGUAACUAUGCGCGUCUUGACGGUACCUAAUCAGAAAGCCACGGCUAACUACGUG